CCUACGGGUGGCAGCAGUGAGGAAUAUUGGUCAAUGGGCGUAAGCCUGACCCAGCCAAGUCGCGUGAGGGAUGAAGGUUCUAUGGAGCGUAAACCUCUUUUAUAAGGGAAUAAAGUGUGGGACGUGUCCUAUUUUGUAUGUACCUUAUGACUAAGGAUCGGCUAACUCCGUGCCAGCAGCCGCGGUAAUACGGAGGAUCCGACCGUUAUCCGGAGUUAUUGGGUUUAAAGGGUGCGUAGGCGGCCUUUUAAGUCAGCGGUGAAAGUCUGUGGCUCAACCAUAGAAUUGCCGUUGAAACUGGGGGGCUUGAGUAUGUUUGAGGCAGGGGGAAUGCGUGGUGUAGCGGUGAAAUGCGUAGAUAUCACGCAGAACCCCGAUUGCGAAGGCAGCCAGCCAAGCCAUGACUGACGCUGAUGCACGAAAGCGUGGGGAUCAAACAGGAUUAGAUACCCCUGUAGUC
rnacentral:rRNA from 1 species